UCCCUAUAAUAACCGAGGCUCAUGCAAUGUUGUGUAUACCGAGCUGUGGAGCAGCAAUGUAUUCACAUAUCACAUCAGCCCAGAGAGGAGGUACUAAUCAUAAGGAGCGAAGGAGAGCAAGUUCAUUGAGAAAAGGAACGAGUAUUAACUUGUCAGUCUAAUGAAGAGAUUUGAAGUUCAUCAACUAAAACCCACUAAAUUCACCAGUCCACAACUUGACAGAAGGACAAUUCAAUGCAAGUUAUGGAUCUCAAUACACAAUGACCUUGACCUGAUGGCUUGCCAUAAGUAGGUCAGCGACUAUCAAGAAUUCAUGUGGACACCAGACAUAUUCCAAACUUAAAAGAUAUCGAAAAUUUCUGUGGAGUACUUGAAGCGGAAAAUUCUGAAACUAUCAACUCUUCCAACUGUUCAGGUCCAGAAUGGAUGGGGAUAUUGAAAUCCUUGACCAGUGUCCAGAGGAAAGAGGUGACAAGUUGCUGACCACGAGAUAGUGAAAUUAGAAGAGGAUUCAACGAGGCUUCCUCCCAUGUCUGAAUAGCUACAAUGAUUGAACAGAUAUUUGAUUGGAUAACACAAGGGUUCAACAUAUUGGUAAUUACCUCCCUUGGUGGGGGGAGUGGCUGAAGUCAGACUGUUAUCCAACACACACAUGCAUGCUGGGAGAUAUCUGUGGUCAUGUCCUUGACAUGAUUCCAGACAAAACUAUGCUAUGUAAGCCCAAGGACGAACAUGGCUCAGGUUUUGUGUUUACUGGGAAAUGAGAAAAAUGCAUGUUGAGUUGAUUGUUCUGUCACCUGUGGUCAAAAGGCCAGGUGUGUCUACCUGGGGAGAUACCUGCCCAGGUAAAAAAAAAAACUAAACAUGAAGUCAGCCUUUAGAUGUAACCUUUGAUAAUCUUUAUGAGAAGUGUGCCGUUGUCAGCGUGGACAUGCUAAUCCUUUAAAUCUAAUAAAAGACACUAUCACCUAGGUGUGAGAGAGUAAUAUUAGGUAACAGUUCAUAAUAUAUUAAGCAAUGCUCACAAAACAUAAUGCUAUUUUUUUCUAAUCAUGUGUUUAUCAUUUAGUGUUCCAGUCAACUAAACAUGUUAAAUUCCAACUGCAGUUGUAAUCCCUGAUAUGGAAAAUAAGGUUAUCAUAAUCUUCCUUUGAUCUUAGGACUCAAGGCUAUUAUCAUAAAGAUUUAAAAUACAGAUGAAUUAGGUAAUUAUGAACAUUUCUACAUAAUAUAGAAUGUUUCUUUCAUUGAAGUUAAUCUUGUCAAGUUUGCCACAAUCUAAGCUGCCGUUUAAUCUGUCAAAUAUCUUGCGUAUUGUACAAAACUUAUUAGAUGAAACAUGAUGUCAUUGUCAAAAAUAUUGAAAUGUGCAUUGAUAACAAAACUCGAAUAACAUGUAGCAAAGACUAAUUGAGAUCUGAACAAAUAACAUUAAAGAUCUAUAUACUUAUCACGAGAAAUAAAUACAUCUAAUUAUAUAAAUGGUACUAAAUACAAAAUAAUUAUUACCAGGAAGCGUCAGAUAAUUUUAGAUAUUGUCCUAUAGAUCAUGUGCUUUUUAAAGAAUGUGUUUUAUCUGUCUUAUAAACAACACAAUACCCCAAACUAAUGACGAAAUAAUGAGAAACUUAGAGUGAGGAUAAUCAGCUGUUUGCUAAAUAUAAUACAAGGAUAUCUUCCUAUGUGUUAAACAUCUCUCAGACUUAGGGAAGAAAAAUAAAAGAUUUUUAGAAAAGUUGCAGUGAAAUAUAUAUAUUGCAAAGACUACAAAGAAAAUACAGACAAAUGAACAAAAUUGUAAUCAAAAGACAAAACUGAUGAAAUGGGAGCAAAAUAAUAUGAAAAAAAAAAAAAUUCACUGAGACAAAAAGUACAAGAUGAUGUGUUCAGGAAGGGUGUCUUUGCUUAAUUGGUAACAUUCGAUAGGUUAUGUUUGGUUGCUCCAAUUUAGUUAUGUCACAUUUUCAAAUGCACAACAGAACUACACAGUGUACUGAAGGGUAUCAGAGCUAUCUUACUGCAUAUUGAACAAGGAAAUGGAAAAAUUCCCUAUGAGAUUUUUCCUAUAGACUUGAUCAACCUGUAUCUCACCAAUCCCUUUCUGACGAGUCUAUUAGUCAGCUGUGGAUAUCUUUUAUGAAGUCAUGAUAUUGGGAACAAGUCCUUAAAUAUCAAUAAACUGCAACAAGUAACUCCUACUGGCUGGAGAAGCAGGGGUAUAUUACUAUCUAUAAAUGGAAAAUUCACAAUGGGAGAAGCUGUCCCUUUUGGCUUUGCUGUAUGAGAAAAUGUAGGUAAUAAUCUGAUGAAAGUCUAUUGUGUCCUUGGUGAAUAUAUAUGGUGAUAGACCAAGCCAGUAAUUUAAAAUUUAGACAUCAUAAAUAUAUCUUGAUGUGAAAUUAACAGACUACUGACAAUAUCUUUUCGCCCUGCUUUGAUAAAGUCUUUGAUUAAUUCAGAGGAGUAAGGUUAUAUAUUUCCGAAGGUGUGUUGAUAGUCUGUUGGAAAACCUUGCCACCAAACACAAUGAUAGUAAUCAGAAUAUUAUAUAAAUGUUAAUACUUCUACUAUAUCUCAAUGAGAUUAAAUGAGAAAAGCUUUCUAAUUAUAACCCAACUUAUCAAUAUUAUCAAAGAACGUUAUACAGAAACUGUUUCCAACUCCAUUUAUCAAAAUCCUCGUACAUUGUAUUGAAUAAAAACUGUUUCUAAGCUCUGAUCAAUGCCAUAACGGCCAUCAUUGUACCUGGUUCUAAUCGAUACUGGAUUCAGGUGCUGUUCAAUGUCAGUAUGCCCUAUGGAACAAAGUGGUAUCAUUACCGCUUAGAUAAGGCCAUUUCCAAAAAUAAUGCUUUUUUCACAUUGUAAUUAUAUCAGUUGACUAGUACUCUAAUAUCCAUAUAUCAUUCUAUCUCAGAAACGAUCAUUAAGUAGACAUUUAUUAAUAUACUUUCCAAACAGCGAUGGUCAAAUGCUUUAUCCGAAGGCAAGUUUCGCUUUCCAGCUUUUAUUCCUUUUUUUUUGAAUUUUAUUGCUUAAUCAAUAUAUGUGGUGAUAAAGAAGUUCAAUAUGCAAA